rnacentral:rRNA from 1 species
GACGAACGCUGGCGGCGUGCUUAACACAUGCAAGUCGAACGGAAAGGCCCUGCUUGCAGGGUACUCGAGUGGCGAACGGGUGAGUAACACGUGGGUGAUCUGCCCUGCAUUUCGGGAUAAGCUUGGGAAACUGGGUCUAAUACCGGAUAGGACCGCACUUUAGUGUGUGUGGUGGAAAGUUUUUUCGGUGUAGGAUGAGCUCGCGGCCUAUCAGCUUGUUGGUGGGGUAAUGGCCUACCAAGGCGGCGACGGGUAGCCGGCCUGAGAGGGUGUACGGCCACAUUGGGACUGAGAUACGGCCCAGACUCCUACGGGAGGCAGCAGUGGGGAAUAUUGCACAAUGGGCGCAAGCCUGAUGCAGCGACGCCGCGUGGGGGAUGAAGGCCUUCGGGUUGUAAACUCCUUUCGCUAGGGACGAAGCUUUUUGUGACGGUACCUAGAUAAGAAGCACCGGCUAACUACGUG